rnacentral:rRNA from 1 species
GACGAACGCUGGCGGCGUGCUUAACACAUGCAAGUCGAACGAUGAAGCCGGAGCUUGCUCUGGUGAAUUAGUGGCGAACGGGUGAGUAACACGUGAGUAACCUGCCCUUGACUCUGGGAUAACUGCUAGAAAUGGUAGCUAAUACCGGAUACGACCCUCGGAGGCAUCUCCAGGGGGUGGAAAGAAUUUCGGUCAAGGAUGGACUCGCGGCCUAUCAGCUAGUUGGUGAGGUAAUGGCUCACCAAGGCGACGACGGGUAGCCGGCCUGAGAGGGGGACCGGCAACAGUGGGACUGAGACACGGCCCGGACUCCUACGGGAGGCAGCAGUGGGGAAUAUUGCACAAUGGGCGCAAGCCUGAUGCAGCAACGCCGCGUGAGGGAUGACGGCCUUCGGGUUGUAAACCUCUUUUAGUAGGGAAGAAGCGAAAGUGACGGUACCUGCAGAAAAAGCACCGGCUAACUACGUGCCAGCCGCCGCCGUAA